rnacentral:rRNA from 1 species
GGUAGAGCUACCGGAUGCUUGCGGGCCCUUGUUGGGUACCAACAGCAGCCGAACUCCGAAUACCGUUGACGUGUAUUCCGGCAGUGAGUCGGCGGGGGAUAAGCUCCGUCGUCGAGAGGGAGACAGCCCAGACCGUCGUCUAAGGUCCCGAAGCGUGUGCUAAGUGGGAAAGGAUGUGGAGUCGCAUAGACAGCCAGGAGGUUGGCUCAGAAGCAGCCAUCCUUGAAAGAGUGCGUAACAGCUCACUGGUCUAGUGGUUCCGCGCCGACAAUGUAGCGGGGCUCAAGCACACCACCGAAGACGCGGCAGCAAUCUUCAUGGUUGCUGGGUAGGAGAGCGUCCUGCGAGGGGCGAAGCGGCCGGGUAACCGUGCCGUGGACUUCGUGGGAGUGAGAAUGCAGACAUGAGUAGCGAGAGACGGGUGAGGAUCCCGUCCGCUGGAUGACCAAGGGUUCCGGGGCCACGUUCGUCGUCCCCGGGUGAGUCGGGUCCUAAGGCGAGGCCGACAGGCGUAGUCGAAUGGAUGAACGGGUGGAUAUUCCCGUACCGACCAUGGACCGGCAAAACCGAGACGGUGAGUACUAACCUCCGCCUCGUGGUGGUUCCUUCCUUCGGGUUGGUAUCGCCGCGUGGUGUUGGGACUGUAGCCGCAGUAGGUCAGCGCAGGGGUGACACGGAAUGGGAGCCGGCCGCGGAGGUGGUUUUCCGUGGUCAAGCACGCAGCCAGUCAUGUAGGCAAAUCCGCAUGGCGCGCAUGGCGAGGUGUGAUGAUGGGAGCCGUUAUGGCUCGAUAUCCGGUUGUCCAGGCCGUCGAGAAAAGCCUCGGCGUGAGGGCCAUGGCCGCCCGUACCCCAAACCGACACUGGUGGUCAGGUAGAGAAUACCAAGGCGAUCGAGCGAAUCCUGGUCAAGGAACUCGGCAAAUCACUCCCGUGCCUUCGGUAUAAGGGAGACCCGCUGGGGUGAACCGGCUAGCCCGGGGAGCUUUGGUGGGUGGCACAGACCAGGGGGUAGCGACUGUUUACCAAAAACACAGGUGCAUGCGAAGGCGAAAGCCGCUGUAUAUGCACUGACGCCUGCCCGGUGCCGGAAGGUUAAGAGGAUCCGUCAGUCCUUCGGGAUGAAGCGGUGAAUUCAAGCCCCGGUAAACGGCGGUGGUAACUAUAACCAUCCUAAGGUAGCGAAAUUCCUUGUCGGGUAAGUUCCGACCUGCACGAAUGGCGUAACGACUUCCCCACUGUCUCGACCAGGAGCUCGGCGAAAUUGCAGUACGAGUAAAGAUGCUCGUUAAGCGCAGAAGGACGAAAAGACCCCGGGACCUUUACUAUACCUUGGUAUUGGCGUUAGGCGCGGAUUGUGUAGCAUAGGCGGGAGGCUUCGAAGCGUGGGCGCCAGCUCAUGUGGAGCCGCAAGGUGAAAUACCGCUCUGUUCUCGUUUGACGUCUAACCUCGACAAGUCAUCCUUGUCAGGGACAGUGCCUGGCGGGUAGUUCAACUGGGGCGGUUGCCUCCCAAAGAGUAACGGAGGCGCUCAAAGGUCCGCUCAGCCCGGUUGGCAAUCGGGUGUCGAGUGUAAUCGCACAAGCGGGCUUGACUGCGAGGACGACGGUCCGAGCAGGGACGAAAGUCGGAGAUAGUGAUCCGGUGCCGGCGCACGGGCGCGGCAUCGCUCAACGGAUAAAAGGUACCCCGGGGAUAACAGGCUGAUCAUUCCCAAGAGUCCAUAUCGACGGGAUGGUUUGGCACCUCGAUGUCGGCUCGUCGCAUCCUGGGGCUGGAGCAGGUCCCAAGGGUUCGGCUGUUCGCCGAUUAAAGCGGCACGCGAGCUGGGUUCAGAACGUCGUGAGACAGUUUGGUCUCUAUCCUCUGCGCUCGUUGGAAUCCUGAGGAGGCCUGCCCAU